CUGAUAUAUGAUCUGGCCACGGCUUCAUAAAUAUACAGACAAUACUUGGUGGUGGGGAUUGUAGCAGUAAUAGAUUGCAGCGCUGAGUGUGGAGGUAGCAGCCAAUAGUCCAGACCUGAAUGAGUUGAUUCAACAAUCCUCCUUCUACCAAUCAAAGUCCACGUCUGUGUUUCUGAUGAUAUCACAGCUUUGAGGUCAGAGGUUAAACUCUUCCAUCCAGGCGGAGGCGGGCUGACCACACGACACAAACUUGAACAUGGAGUCUAUCAGAAUACCAGCAAAGUACUUCUCUCUGAAAGACAGACAAAUCACUGUUUUUUUUCCAUCUUUGCAUCGCUCCCAUAGCAACAAAAAAAGCCACAUGAUGCUUGCAUGAUGAGGCUGAGCUUCAAACAAACACAAGAGUUGUUACUGUGCAAUCACGACACAAACAUUUCUCUGUUUCUGUUUGACCUCUUUCUCUACCCUUUUCUCUACCCUUGCGACUGUUGCCAUAGUAACCCGCUUAACCAGGGCACAAUUGCUGACCAGCAGGAAGUGUGGAGCAUUUCUGGUUAAUGAGAGCUUCCGUGUGGGAUGGGGUGUGUUCACAGCAGGAGGGAAACCUCUGCGUCAUUCGGACAAAGGGGUUUUCCAUAUUUUUACGACAGUGGGAAUAUUGUUCCAGUGUUAUUUUACUGGUACCACCGGGGCACUUUUAUGUUCUGGGCUGAGCUAUGUUUAGUUUUUACGGCCUAUUGUGUGUGAUAUAAUAUUUUCACAAGGUUCAUAUCUGUGCUCAUUUAAAACUUUUAUCUGAUAA